UGGGAGAACUAACUGAUCCACCUUCUCUUACUCAUAUAUGUUCCCCUCCUGUUCUUUGUUUCUUCUUUACAGUCGUUUUCGAUUCCCCUUUUUUACAAAAUUGCCUUCAAUUGUUCACUAUACCAGACAAAUUCCAUACAAUGGAAUUUGCAAGUUCGAGUAGUGCGAUUGUGGGAUAAAUGAAAACCUGACAUACCGUUUUCCAUUGAGAUGAUCUUACAAGAUUAAGAGGAUCCACAGUUUCAUGAUGGACAAAGCUUUGGUGGAGAGAAGGUUUUUCAGGAAAAACCAGCCUGCCGAGUGGAUUGACUAAUGCGUCUCAAAUUACUUCCUUUGGCAGACAAGAGGAAGAAAAUAGUCUAUCUGGAGUAUUUUAGCAAGUCUGAACUCAAGCAGUCAGUAUAUUAUGUGAAAGAAAGCCAGAUGAAAUGGAGAAACUGGUAACUCAGUAGCUGCUUCUCAAUAGAAAUGAAGGAAAAUUAUUUUACAUUUCUUGCCAUGAAUUUUGUGGCCUUCAAAAUUGGUGUAAACAAAGGUAACCUUUAGGUUUUUCUAUUUCAAUUUUGAUGGAUUAUGCUAAUCAUAUAGACUUUUUCAGUCUAUACUCAUUGAAGUAGUGAAUGUGUCAGAUUGAAGUAGUGAAUGUAUCAGUUGUCCAGUCGAGAAACAAGAGGUGUUUUCUAAGUGACGAUGUCAACGACAUGAGAAAAUAAGAGAAUGUGAUGAGCUCAAAUUGUGCUCCGGAAAAUUGUCACAUGGAUGAAACUUUGUUGGAAUACCAAGCGCACGCCGUGGCAAGGCAGAUACCUUCUCUGUGAGAGCUCGCUAAUCAAAUAGUUGAACA